rnacentral:rRNA from 1 species
UCUCUGACACGCUGACGCCGUCUGGUGGAUGGCUUGGCUUGAGAGACUAUGAAGGGCGUGGCAAGCUGCGAUAAGCUCUGGGUAGGCGCAGGCAGCCUUUGAUCCAGAGAUGCCCGAAUGGGACUUCCUAUCAGAAUGUCUUCGGGCAUACUGAUGAUCCGUAAGGAUCGUGAACCCUCCGAAUUGAAGCAUCUUAGUAGGAGGAGGAAAAGAAAUCAAUUGAGAUCCCCUAAUUAGCGGCGAGCGAAACGGGGUCUGCCCAAACCGAAUCCUGUAAAGUGAUUUGUAGGAGAUGUGGGGUAUGCUGGCAGUGUUUGCUUCUCUCUAUUUUUUGGACUGAAGUGGCCUGGAAAGGCCUAACAUAGAGGGUGAUAUUCUCGUAAGUUUAGGAAAAAGAGUGAUGUGCUGUUAGCUAGAGUACCUGGCCUCGGCAAUGGCUAGGGAAUAUGGGGGAAAGCAGCCUCCAAGGCUAAACACUUCUCAAGACCGAUAGUGUAAUAGUACCGUGAGGUAAAGCUGAAAAGUACCCUGAAAGGGGAGUGAAAAGUGACUGAAACCAGACGGUUACAGACGUGUAUUGCCUGAAAGGGGUUUACUGGUUUUCUUGAUCGUCCUUCGGGAUGGUCUUAUGGAGACCUAUUAUGACCCCAGGGUGAUACUUUCCGUCUAGAAACACGGGCCAGGGAGUUUAUUGUUAUGGCAAGCCUAAGGGCUUUAAACCUGAAAGCGAAGGGAAACCAAAUUUUUACAGCAGUAUUUUUACUGUGAGGAAAUGGGUCUGAAAGGGCCUUUAGUCAUAACGAUAAGACUAGAAACCGGACGAUCGUGCCCUGAGUUGGAUGAAGCUGGGCGAAAGCCUGGUGGAGGUCCUAAGGGGUCCUGACGUGCAACUCGGUCCUGUAACUUGGGGCAAGGGGCCAAAAGCCAAUCUAGUUCGGUGAUAGCUAGUUCCUACCGAAGCGGGUCGUAGCCCGGCCUAGGCAGACGUUGCCAACGCUGUAGAGCACCGAUGUGAAAGUAAGGGAUCGAAAGAUCCUCCUUUCGUUUCGAACUCCGAAGGUGUUGGUGCGGUAGAAGCCUGGAUGCGGGUUUGUGUGGGGUAAGCCUCACAACCGAGAGGGGGACAACCCAGACUGGAGUUAAGGCCCCCAAAUAUCGACUAAGUGUCAAACAAAAGGGCGUCUUUGAGCCAAGACAGCAGGAAGAUAGGCUUAGAACCAGCCACUCUUUAAAGAGUGCGUAACAGCUCACCUGCCGAGCUUGGGGGCCCCGAAAAUGGACGGGGCUAAAGUCGAUUGCCGAUACUCUGGACCACAAGUUAUUCUUGUGUGUGGUAGGUAGGCGUAGAGGUUGGGUAGAAGUAGGGCUGUGAAGUCCUGUGGACCGAUUUCUAUUGUAGAUCCUGGCGGUAGUAGCAGCGUAGUUGGGUGAGAAUCCCGACCACCGUAUGGGCAAGGUUUUCCUGGCAACGCGUCGUCGACCAGGAGUUAGCCGAUCCUAAGUGUAA